ACAAACUCUAUCAAAGCCGCCAAAUGAACAGUAAUGAACAGUAAUGAAUAGUCACCCGUGACAGACAAAUUCUAUCAAAGCCGCCAAAUAAACAGUAAUGAACAGUAAUGAAUAGUUAGUGGGCUCCACAGGUUUAUAUUUUAUUCUUUUACAACACUCCCCCUUGGAGACCACUAAUGAUAUGUCGGUUGUAUCAUUAAAGACUUGCUUGGAGAAAACCUAGUAAGGUAGAGAACUGAUGGAAAGAAGAGUACAACAAUCUGUAUAGCAUACUUCUGGAUGCUCCCCC
rnacentral:lncRNA from 1 species